AUUGAACGCUGGCGGAAGGCCUAACACAUGCAAGUCGAACGAGUGGCGGACGGGUGAGUAAUGUCUGGGAAACUGACUGAUGGAGGGGGAUAACGACUGGAAACGGUAGCUAAUACCGCAUACCAUCAGAUGUGCCCAGAUGGGAUUAGCUAGGUGGUGGGGUAACGGCUAACCAAGGCGAAGAUCCCUAGCGGGACUGAGAGGAUGACCAGCCAAACUGGAACUGAGACACGGUCCAGACUCCUACGUGAGGCAGCAGUGGGGAAUAUUGCACAAUGGGCGCAAGCCUGAUGCAGCCAUGCCGCGUGUAUGAAGAAGGCCUUCGGGUUUUAAAGUACUUUCAGCGGGGAGGCGUUACCCGCAGAAGAAGCACCGGCUAACUCCGUGCCAGCAGCCGCGGUAAUAC
rnacentral:rRNA from 1 species